rnacentral:rRNA from 1 species
GACGAACGCUGGCGGCGCGCCUAACACAUGCAAGUCGAACGAGCGAGCGAGAGCUUGCUUUCUCAAGCGAGUGGCGAACGGGUGAGUAACGCGUGAGGAACCUGCCUCAAAGAGGGGGACAACAGUUGGAAACGACUGCUAAUACCGCAUAAGCCCACGACCCGGCAUCGGGUAGAGGGAAAAGGAGCAAUCCGCUUUGAGAUGGCCUCGCGUCCGAUUAGCUAGUUGGUGAGGUAACGGCCCACCAAGGCGACGAUCGGUAGCCGGACUGAGAGGUUGAACGGCCACAUUGGGACUGAGACACGGCCCAGACUCCUACGGGAGGCAGCAGUGGGGAAUAGUGCACAAUGGGGGAAACCCUGAUGCAGCGACGCCGCGUGGAGGAAGAAGGUCUUCAGAUUGUAAACUCCUGUUGUUGAGGAAGAUAAUGACGGUACUCAACAAGGAAGUGACGGCUAACUACGUG